ACGUCAUGGAGGCGAAGAAGGUCGAGGAAACGCGUGCUCUGGCGUGUCAUGCACGUGAUCUACUGCGGUAUCAGCUCGUUGCUGCAGCUCACCGCCCACUGUGUAUUGAUGAGCAGAGAGAGCUGCGCAUUGCACUGCAGCAGCUCCUACCCUGCCUCUCCAUUAUUCGGUCUUACGAACAGGAGUAUACCUACCUCUCCACGUACGAGCUUGCAAUCAGCGCUGUCGGGCAAGUUCUCGGGAGCCUUGCAGCGGCGGAGACGACGGUGAACGCAGAGGAUAGGCAGCUCGUGAAAGCAAAGCAUGACGCGGAGCACCACAGGAAGGAGGAUAACCCCAAAGCGUCCGCAACACUGUCAACGCCGGCGGCGCCAUUGGAGGCGGCAGCGGCGUUUGUCCCAGCAUCCUGCGCAAGACAGGCUGCAGCGACUGCUUCCUCAGUGACGUGGAAGAACACGUACGGAUGCGAUGACGCCAUUCUCGCCUUGCGCCAAGCCACGACGCUGCCGCUGCAGCACCCGUCCUUGUUUACUGGCCCGCGCCAACCAUGGCGCCGCCUGUUGCUCUAUGGGCCGCCCGGCACCGGCAAAACUCGUCUGGCCGCUGCGACGGCAGCCGAGUACGGUGCCAUGCUUCUCAGCGUGUCUGCCGCGGACUUGCUGAGCAAGUGGGUCGGAGAGAGCGAGAAGCAGGUGCGCCAGGCAUUCAUGCAAGCCGCCGCUUCCGCCCCGCGGUGCGUCCUCUUCUUCGACGAAGUCGAUGCCCUCUGCAGUGCGCGCGGCGGUCACGGGGAGAGCGAACUGGCGCGCCGACUAAAGACGGAGCUCCUGCUCCACCUGCAGAUGGACCUGCCAGCGGUGACGGUACUGGCAGCCACGAACUUGCCAUGGGAGCUGGACGCGGCCUUUCUUCGUCGAUUUGACCGCUUUAUUCACGUCAGUCUCCCCUCCGAUGCGGUGAAGCGCCGGCUCUUGGGGUCCGAAUUGCGCGGCGUGGCUCACACCAUCACCGACGACGCGCUGGACCGCAUUGUGGCACAGACGGAUCGCUUCUCGGUGGUCGAUGUGCGGCGGUUACUGUCGCACGCGGUGAUGGCGCCGGUGACGGAAUGGCUGCGGCUGACUCAAGCCACGGUCGACGACCGUAGCAGCGACAGCAGAGAAAGCGCUGAGGCGGGAAGUGAUGGAAUUGAUGUACUCUGCACCGCCGCCUCCACUGCACCGGCUCCCCUCCUCCAUCGUCCCUCACCCCCACGCACGCACACAGAGUUGAAACACCGAUCAGUGUACUGUCUUGCAGACACGGAAGUCCUCGGUGCCGGCGUGCGAAGCGUAACCUCAGGAACAGAGAGCACACCGUCUCCUUGCAGCUCACCGCGGCCAUCUUCUCCGGUGGGUCCCGAGCGCUGCCCAUCAAAGCAUUCUUCCUCACUCCCGCACUGUAGGCACAUGCACUGUCGGCUCCCGGGCAACCACGCCAACGACGUGCCUUUUGUGGAGUAUCGCCACUUUGAAAGUGCACUGCAAGUAAUUACGGCUACCACUUCCGCCGAGGAAAUCGCGCGCUACGCCACGUGGCGCUGCCGCAGUGCCGGCGUGUAGCUGGUGGGCGGUGGCGGUCGCGACGACCCCGCAGCGCCACCUUCAUCUUUGCACGACGUGCAGUGUUUUCUUUGGCUGCUGCGUUCGGCCCUCCCUCAUCCUUUCUCCAGGCAAUCUGUUGCUCAUCCCAUCUGCUGUUGACUGCUUCUCUUGCUCUGUUUGUUCGUGUGUGUGUUCCUUUGUGCGUCACUUUGCGCAGGAACUUCGGAGGUGCGUGUGUGUGUGGUUGUGUGUGGGCUCCUGCGCGACGGCCCAACGAGGCGCGCACCCGCGUCAACACAGCAUGCACGCAUAAAAAAAUAAAAAGGAAACGCGUCAGACGUAAAGUUUUACCCCGAAGGGAAAUGGGCAAAGGUCAUCGCAUGGGUUGGCGGUCUGCCUGAAAUUGUGCGCAGCAGAGCUGUGUCCCAGCGAAGGUGCGCUUGUGGCGCCGCUCGGCCGUGUUCCAGUGGAGGCGGUGAGUGGGACGUGCAUGCAGUGGUGUGCCUGCAUCGCUCUCUGCGGGCCAGUGGCCAUGCACUGCCCUGUUUUCUCAUUCUCUCCUGCCGCUCUCUCUCUCUGCGACUGUCUGUACGGUGCGCAUGUGUGCGUCUGUGCAUUUCGAUGCGCUUGUUCGCCCAUGUUCCACAG
rnacentral:misc_RNA from 1 species